AUGUAUAUGUACAUAUGCAUUGACACUUGCGAGCAACUUAUUUAGCUAAAGUAAUUGUAAGCUUAGAGACACAA
rnacentral:sRNA from 1 species